rnacentral:ncRNA from 1 species
GAACGCCGUAUGCGGUGAAAGUCGCAUGUACGGUGUGAAACGGGGGAAAAUUCGGAGAUAACUUCAAAGAGUUACCUAUCGUUAU